GGUGGUGUUGUGAAAGUUUGAUAC
rnacentral:siRNA from 1 species